UGGGAUCUUGAAAAUAAUCACUAUGCUUAUUGAACUAAUUAAAAUCUAUUUUACUAUUGGAAGAUAGAUUAUAGGUUUUAAUUAGUAUAUUUAAUAAGACUCGAGAGAGAUUAUUAAAUAAUUUAGGAUUAUUUAUCCUUUCAUUAAUAAUUAAAUUUAGAUUAUUAAUCAGAAUAGCUGGAAUUGAUAAUUGGUCCAAGUG
rnacentral:lncRNA from 1 species